rnacentral:rRNA from 1 species
UUACCCAAUCCUAAUACAGGGAGGUAGUGACAAGAAAUAACAAUACAGGACUUUUUGGUUUUGUAAUUGGAAUGAGUUAAGUAUAAACCCCUUUACAAGUAUCAAUUGGAGGGCAAGUCUGGUGCCAGCAGCCGCGGUAAUUCCAGCUCCAAUAGCGUAUAUUAAAGUUGUUGCAGUUAAAAAGCUCGUAGUUGGAUUUCUGUUAAUAAUUUAUAUAAAAUAUUUUGAUGAAUAUUUAUAUAAUAUUAACAUAAUUCAUA